rnacentral:rRNA from 1 species
AACGAACGCUGGCGGCAUGCCUAACACAUGCAAGUCGAACGAGACCUUCGGGUCUAGUGGCGCACGGGUGCGUAACGCGUGGGAACCUGCCCUUAGGUUCGGAAUAACUCCCCGAAAGGGGUGCUAAUACCGGAUAAUGUCUUCGGACCAAAGAUUUAUCGCCUUUGGAUGGGCCCGCGUUGGCUUAGCUGGUUGGUAGGGUAAAAGCCUACCAAGGCGACGAUCCAUAGCUGGUCUGAGAGGAUGAUCAGCCACACUGGGACUGAGACACGGCCCAAACCCGGAGGGAGGGGCGCGGGGGGGAGUAUGGGAGGCGGGGGGAGGGUUGAACAAAGCAGUGCGGGGGAGGACGGAAGGCGGUUGGGAAAGUAAUGCUUUUUUCCCCGAAGUGUUAAUGACGGUACCGGGUAAAAAAGCCCCGGCUAACUCCGUG